rnacentral:rRNA from 1 species
UACGUAGGGUGCAAGCGUUAAUCGGAAUUACUGGGCGUAAAGCGUGCGCAGGCGGUUCGUUAAGUUCGUUGUGAAAGCCCCGGGCUCAACCUGGGAACUGCAAUGGAAACUGGCGGGCUUGAGUAUGGCAGAGGGGGGUGGAAUUCCGCGUGUAGCAGUGAAAUGCGUAGAGAUGCGGAGGAACACCGAUGGCGAAGGCAGCCCCCUGGGCCAAUACUGACGCUCAGGCACGAAAGCGUGGGGAGCAAACAGG